rnacentral:SRP_RNA from 1 species
GCCAGGUGUGGUGGCGCAUUCCUGGAAUCCCAGCUACUUGGGCUGAUUCAGAAGAAUGGCUUGAACCCAGGAGGCAGAGGUUGCAGUGAGCCGAGGUAGUGCAAUUGCAUUCCAGCCUGGGCAACAAGAGCGAAACUCUGUCUCAGAAAAAAAAAAAAAAAUUGUUCUUUCUCCCGGGAGUCAAGGAACAGCACAUUACGUAAGGUGGGGUGAAGGGAGGUUUCCAGGUUGGAAACAGAGCAGGUCAAAACUCCCAUGCUGAUCAGUAGUGGGAUCGUGCCUGUGAAUAACCACUGCCGUCCAGCAUUGGCAACAUAGUGAGACUCUAUCUCU